rnacentral:rRNA from 1 species
GAUGAACGCUAGCGGCAGGCUUAAUACAUGCAAGUCGAGGGGCAGCAUGGUUGUAGCAAUACAACUGAUGGCGACCGGCAAACGGGUGCGGAACACGUACGCAAUCUACCCAAAACUGGUGAAUAGCCCUCCGAAAGGAGGAUUAAUACACCGUAACUUAAUGAGGUGGCAUCACUUUAUUAAUAUAGCUCCGGCGGUUUUGGAUGAGCGUGCUCCUGAUUAGGUGGUUGGCGUGGUAACGGCCCACCAAGUCUACGAUCAGUAGCUGAUGUGAGAGCAUGAUCAGCCACACGGGCACUGAGACACGGGCCCGACUCCUACGGGAGGCAGCAGUAAGGAAUAUUGGUCAAUGGACGCAAGUCUGAACCAGCCAUGCCGCGUGAAGGAUUAAGGUCCUCUGGAUUGUAAACUUCUUUUAUCUGGGACGAAAAAAGGCGAUUCUUCGUCACUUGACGGUACCAGAUGAAUAAGCACCGGCUAACUCCGUGCCAGCCGCCGCGGUAACAC